rnacentral:rRNA from 1 species
CCUACGGGGAGCAGCAGUGAGGAAUAUUGGUCCAUGGGCGGAAGCCUGAACCAGCCAAGUAGCGUGCAGGAUGACGGACCUACGGGUUGUAAACUGCUUUUAUACGGGAAUAACGCGCCUUACGUUUAGGGCUUUGCAUGUACCGUAUGAAUAAGGACCGGCUAAUUCAGUGCCAGCAGCCGCGGUAAUACGGAAGGUCCGGGCGUUAUCCGGAGUUGUUGGGUUGAAAGGGAGCGUAGGCCGAAUGUCAAGCGUGCUGUGAAAUGUCCGGGCUCAACACGGGCCUUGCAGCGCGAACUGGCGUGCUUGAGUCCGCGGAAAGCAGGCGGAAUUCGUCGUGUAGCGGUGAAAUGCUUAGAUAUGACGAAGAACCCCGAUUGCGAAGGCAGCUUGCUGCAGCGGAACUGACGCUGAUGCUCGAAAGCGCGGGUAUCGAACAGGAUUAGAUACCCCUGGUAGUC